AGAAUCAACGCUGGCGGCGUGCCUCAGACAUGCAAGUCGAACGCGAAAGUCCCCUUCGGGGGAUGAUUAGAGUGGCGCACGGGUGAGUAACACGUAGGUAAUCUACCUUCGAGUGGGGAAUAACUCAGGGAAACUUGAGCUAAUACCGCAUAAUGCAGCGGCACCACAUGGUGACAGUUGUUAAAAGCAUUUUAUGCGCUUGAAGAGGAGCCUGCGGCAGAUUAGCUAGUUGGUAAGGUAAUGGCUUACCAAGGCUACGAUCU
rnacentral:rRNA from 1 species